CCUACGGGGGCAGCAGUGGGGAAUAUUGCACAAUGGGGGAAAACCUGAUGCCGCGACGGCGCGUGAGUGAAGAAGUAUUUCGGGAUGUAAAGCUCUGUCAGCAGGGAAGAAAAUGACGGUACCUGACCCAGAAGCCCUGGCUAACUACGUGCAAGCAGCAGCGGUAAUACGUAGGGGGCAAGCGUUAUCCGGAAUUACUGGGUGUAAAGGGAGGGUAGACGGGAGGGCAAGUCUGGAGUGAAAGUCGGGGGCUCAACCCACGGACUGCUCUGGAAACUGCCAGGCUGGAGUGCAGGAGAGGUAAGUGGAAUUCCUAGUGUAGCGGUGAAAUGCGUAGAUAUUAGGCGGAACACCAGUGGCGAAGGCGGCUUACUGGACUGUAACUGACGUUGAGGCACGAAAGCGUGGGGAGCAAACAGGAUUAGAUACCCCUGUAGUC
rnacentral:rRNA from 1 species